CAGCCGCCGCGGUAAUACCGGCGGCCCGAGUGGCGGUCACUAUUAUUGGGCUUAAAGCGUCCGUAGCCGGGUUGGGAAGUCCUCCGGGAAAUCUGGCCGCUUAAAGGUCAGAAUGCCGGAGGAUACUCCCAGCCUAGGGAGCGGGAGAGGCCGAGGGUAUUCCCGGAGUAGGGGGGAAAUCCUAUAAUCCCGGGAGGACCACCUGUGGCGAAGGCGCUCGGCUGGAACGCGUCCGACGGGGAGGGACGAAGGCCAGGGGAGCAAACCGGAUUAGAUACCCGGGUAGUCCUGGCGGUAAACGAUGCGGACUUUGUGUCGGACAAGCUAUGAGCUUGUCCGGUGCCGGAGGGAAACCGUUAAGUCCGCCGCCUGGGGAGUACGGCCGCAAGGCUGAAACUUAAAGGAAUUGGCGGG
rnacentral:rRNA from 1 species